rnacentral:ncRNA from 1 species
UGACAUUCGAUGACGAGAAAGAGUACAUUUUUGCGGAAGCGCACAGCGAGCCGGGUAUGGUGAAAGCCGGUGGUGGAAGGAAAAUGGAAAAUCAUCUCUGAGAAUUGCAGUUGAAAUGAGUAAACUGCACCGUCUGAUCCACGUUACAGGAAACGCGUAUGAUAGUACGUUGAAAAGUGCCUUGCUUUUUUGGUGAGGAAUAUUGGGUGGUACCGCGGAUAUAAACUUCCGUCCCUUGU